rnacentral:lncRNA from 1 species
GCGUGGGGGCGGGUGUCGAAGCACUGAUACCUGAGCCAGCCGACGCCAUCGAAGCUCUUCUGGCAACCGCAGACGUGACAGAGGUCGAGUAGUCAUCUCGAUGGCUAGGCCGAUCGUUUGAUUGGUGCACCCCCUUCCUGGACUGCCUGAUUCAAGGUGAGCUACCAGAAGACUGGGCUGAAGCCCGCCGCAUCACUCGACGAGCCAAAUCUUACGUAAUCUACGGGGACGACAAGGAGCUAUCCCGAUGGAGCCCGAUAGGGAUCCUCCAAUGCUGUAUCACCGUCGAGGAAGGUCAAAAGUUUCUCGACGAUCUGCACUCAGGGGCUUGUGGCCACCACGCGGCCCCCAGGACCCUCGUUUGCACUUUUUGACAAGGAUUCUAUUGGCCAAUGGCUGUCGCCGAUGCCACCGAGCUCGUUCACUCAUGUCAUGGAUGCCAAUUCUAUGCCAAGCAAACCCACCUCCUGGCCCACGCCAUGUAGAUGAUCCUCAUCACUUGGUCAUUCGCAGUCUGGGGCCUCGACCUCGUGGGACCACUCCAAAGGACGACAGGAGGGUACACGCACCUGCUGGUAGCCAUUGACAAGUUCUCCAUGGAUCGAGGCUCGACCCAUUACCAACAUCUGCUCUGAGCAAGCCGUCAUGUUCUUCACCGACAAAAUCCACCGAUUUGGGGUGCCCAAUGUCAUCAUCACUGACAACAGCACACAGUUCAUAUGCAAGAAGUUCCUGGACUUUUGCGAUUGGCAUCACAUCCGUGUGAACUGGUCUGCGGUCGCCCAUCCUUGAACUAACGGCCAGGUCAAGCGUGCUAACGGCAUGAUCUUAUAAGGGCUCAAGCCUAGAAUCUACAAUCAGUUGAAGAAGUUUGGCAAAAAGUGGGUCGAGGAGCUUUCUUCGGUCCUAUGGAGCCUAAGAACGACACCCAGCCAAGCCACGAAAUUUACUCCAUUCUUCAUGGUCUAUGGCUCCGAGGCCGUGCUCCCAACGGACCUCGAGUAUGGGUCACCUCGACUCAAGGCGUACAACGAGCAAACAAACAAGAGAACCCGAGAGAACGCGGUCGAUCAACUCGAGGAAGCUCGAGACUUGGCCCUCCUCAACUCAGCAAGAUACCAGCAGAAGCUUCGACGCUACCACAACAAGCAUGUACAUAAGAGGGACCUGCACAUUGGUGACCUCGUCUUACGCCGGCAGUAGAGCAAUCAAGGACGCCACAAGCUAAACCCACCUUGGGAGGGUCCAUAUGUGGUGGCGGAAGUUCUGAAGCCAGGAACGUACAAACUCGCAUAUGACAAAGGCGCGGUCUUCACCAACGCUUGGAACAUCGAACAGCUACGUCGCUUCUAUCCCUAGAGCUUUGAAGCUUUGUACUUUUCGCAUUUUUGUACCACCAAAACACUUUGAAUAAAUGAAAGUAUUUUUUCAACAACGCAUGAUGUUACUAUUAAAUCUCGACAAUAGAGAAAGUCUCAACCAUGACUCAUCAUAGUCAAAACUCUCUCGGAGGCUAGAAGGUGGAACCCCACGAGCUCUAAAAAACUCGAACAUUUUUUUUCAAAAGCUCAACAUUAUUUCGUUCCUAAAAAGUUCUGCGCAGUCAAGCAGUAAACACCUCGAGCCCCUUUAGGGCCAAGAGACGUCGAGCCUGAGGAUCCCUACGCCUCCGAGCUACGGUAACUCUACUCGCUCCCUUACCCUCGAGGCAAUCGAGCCUGUUUUAGAAACUUAACUGAGGAAUGGAAACUUAGGCAAUAAAGAAAUAAAAGAAACUCGAGCAUGAAAAUAACAAUCGCUUACAGAAAUCACAAAGUUUUAGGGCCACCUAGGCCAUAACACCGUCAAGUAGCAAUAACUAACUUAUUACAUUGGGUCUAGAUACCCAGAUAAGGCUCACAUGCCUUGGUCAUCAUUUCCACCGGCUCCAUCCUUGUCUCCUUCAUCUUUGCCCAUGCCAGUCUCUGGGGGAAGCACCUCUGGCUCGAACAACACCGCCAGUCGCUCUCCAGGACCCUCAGCUUCAUCAAUCAAGGCGUGGAGCCUCUCCUCGUUCUCUACAUCGGUCUUGAUGAUGUCCAUGACAAAGCCAUGAGACACCACCUCCAUAUCAUAAGAAAAACCUGAGCAGGCGAUCGCCAUAGCCCGCUUUACCCCGGUGUGGAGGGCAUCCCGGACCCGGUCCCUCACUGUGGCGCCUAGUAAGCACAACUGAUCCACGAGAGCAUCGCCCCGAGCCGCCUCCCCUGCCUCAUUCGCAGGCUUGAGCUCCCAGGCAGCGGAGAGAUCGUUGAUCGCGGUCCUCAGCCGACCCAUCAACAAGACCUCCCCCUCGAGCUCGGCCUUAAGGGUCUGAGAGGCAGUCCAGGCCGCCAGCAGGCCAUCCUUAAGCUCUGCAGAAGUCAGCGUGAGAGUUAAUUCGCUGAAAGUAAAUAUGAUUAGAGAAACAAGUGCAAAAGAGCAAGAGCUUACCACGGAUCUUCUCCUCGAGAGACGUGUUCUCACCAACUAAGUCAGUGUUGUCCCUCUCGAUCUCCUUGUAUGAGCGGGCCAUUUCCAUCUUCUCGACCCGCAAGUCCUCGAUCAGUUUCCCCGACUAAAGGAUGGUGUCUUCCUUCUCUCGUAGUGCUCCCUUUAGACGAACGACGUCGUUAGAUAAGCUAUGAGAGCGGGUCUGCUCCUUCUCGAGCUCCUCGUGUGCCUUCCUCUCAUUCCUCUCCACGGCGUCCCGAGCGAUCGCAUUGCUGAGCAGCUCCUCCUUCACCCCGGCGUAACUGUCUUUGGAGGUAGCAAGGUCCGCCUCGAGCUUCCUGAUGUGCUCGGUGAGCAAGACCAUGUUAUCCUCCACUGCUUUCUGGUGCUCCCUGGCUUUGGCAGCUUCCUGCUUGGCUUGGCCAUGAUGACGAUGACAAAUUGCAUGUGUCAGUUACGAAAAUUCAGAAGACCUAGAUUUCACGUUCUUGUUUUCAGACAAAAUGCAAUGCACUCCAGGAAGUAAAAAAAUAUUGAGAUAUGUGAACGCAGAAGAGCCCACAUGAAUGCUCAAGCCUUUGGAUGCAACCAACAUGGCAACAUGAUAGGUAAAGCUUCUAGAGAAUAACCUUUUUUUUCCCCUGGAAUUGAGACACGUGCGUAAACGUUUUGUGGGUAAACAAAAUUUUCUGGUGGAAUUAACCAGCCUGCCUCUGCAGGCUACAAAAUAAAUAUGCGUUUCUAAUAGGCAACGUUAUUAGUAACUCUAUUAUACAAAUAAAUUAGUAAAUUUAUGUGAAUAAUAUCUCUUUAUAGAACUACUAUGUAAAGUUCUGACGUUUUUUCAGAACUGAAUGCACAGAAACAUCACCUCCAUAUAUCAUUAAGCCCUUGUUUGGAUGUAAUCGGAUUCCAUUGAUCCACAUGACAUGUGUUAGGGUGGAUUGGAGUAGAACUUGAACUAAAUUACAUCUCAAUCCACCUCAAAACAUGUGGUUGACGUAAAUCCAACAACAUCCAAGGAUGAAAAAAAAUACAUGAUUAUGGAGGCUGUAAUCAUGAUCCCUUUGUUAAUUAGUCAUACAUGGAAUCAAUUAUCGAGCAUAGCAUCAAACAAUAAUUAAUGUCUUUCCGGAAAGGCUAAAAUAAAUAUAGAUUUCAUCUUUUUUCAAUUAUAUGGUGUUUGUGACAAGAUAAUUAAUCUAAAAAUAAACUUUUCAUGCAUUUAUAGACAGAGGGAUAAGGGUAUCACAUAGCAACGAACAUGUAUAGUUUUCUUUGUAACUGAACAUAAGUUAGUGCACAUGAGACCUACGUCAAGAAUAUGCUAGCCGUCUUGUUCAUAUCAGUGUUCGAGUGCAUUGAAACAACUAAGAAUAUAUUGAGUUGUCGGCAAGAAAUUGAAAUGACGCAUCCGAUGAACCUUAGCUUUGAGAUGUUGCACAUGCGUAGGAAGAAUUAACAAUAUUAGUUACUUGUAUCAUGACGUCUAAAGACAGCUUGGCAUUUUGCAUAUAUUCCCAUGGAACAAUACCUAUAUAUUACUUAAGUCACAUGUCAUCCUCAGUAAGAUUGAUGCCCUGACCAUCUAGAAAUACACACAGAUAUGGUCGGGGUUCCUACACCUAACUGUCAAAGUAUGAUUUCUCGUGAAGAAAUUAAAGGUUCUCAAGUGUACUUGAGAGAGGAUCCAUUUAUAUGUUACUAAAAAAACUAAGUAACAACUAUUAUAUUUUGACAUUAUUAUGAUCAGUUUUUUUUCGAUGCAAUGAUUCUGAAAGUAUAUGUAUAGAUUAAGGCAAUAUGUCCCUUAAUGAAUAGCUUUUCCCCAGUAAACAGGGGUGGAGGUAUGUUAUAUAUACUUAGGGAGUGCAAAUGCAUCCCUAAAAAAAUAAAAAAUAGUGAUUUUAUCAACAUUCUACCGUAUAUGCAUCAAUCCACAAGAAAAAUGCAACCCUCUAAUUCGCUCUAACUAUGUUACCACCAAUAAAUACGAUCCAAUGUCAAUGAAUUUCUUAGCUACGUGCACAAUAUAGAAUAACUAAAGCAUUCAAGAAACAAAAUACAUCUAACUGUGUCCACUUUCCUGGAUCAAUUUCCUGCUAUGCAAAUAAUGUGAGUAUAUGACUAGAACCUAUGUCAGGAGGAGAAAUAUGACCCUGGAAAAGGGAAUUAACUUUUCAGUAUCUAGAAAAAAAUUACUUAUUACAUGAAAAUAAUGUCGUCAUGCGUUGGAAUAAUUCAGAAAUUUAAUUAACUAAACUAAUCAAACUUUAUUUAGGUACCGUAGAUAAGAAGAACAAAUUUGAUGUUGCUGUCAAAAAUGAUGUUGCCGUCAAAUGGAAGUAGACACCUUAUGCUGCUUAAAAGAAUAGUGAUACGGUUGAUAGAAAGAAAAAUGCUUCGUCAUCAGUGCAGUAUGAACGUAUGAUUCAGUGAAUGUAAGAUUCAUGUACUUUUAAAAUACGCCCUAAUGAUGGAGGAAGUAUGGAGAAAAAUGAUGUUGCCAUCAAUUAAAGUUUGACACCUUGUGCUGCUUAAAAGAACAGUACGUGAUAUGGUUAACAGAAAGAAAGUGCGCCGUCAUCAGUGGAGUAUGAAGGUGUGAUUCAGUGAAUAUAAGAUAUGGACUACUUACUGCAUAAGAUUCAGUCUAUCUGUCGAUAUCUCUGGCCUUUUAAAUUUUAACUUUUAGAACCUACCCAACUAUUGAUAUACCUCUGGCCUGUCAGAGCAAAUUAACCACGUGCACCGCCAUUCUUUUGGUAGCUGAUUGGAAAUAACAGCUGGAGAGGCACGAAGGUUUUUAAAAAUUAAUCAGUGGCCAUUGUCGUCAACAAAAAGUAUCAAAGUUGUGUGCAUGAACAAAGAAAGGCAUUGCUAGGGCCUUGUUUAGUUCUAAAAAGAUUUCGGAUUUUGGUACUGUAGCAUUUUCGUUUGUUUGUGGUAAAUAUUAUCCAAUCAUAAACUAACUAGGCUCAAAAGACAAACUGUGCAAUUAGUUUUUAUUUUUUUCUAUAUUUAGUGCUUCAUUCAUAUGCUACAAGAUUUGAUGUGACGACGAAUCUUGAAUAGUUUUUGAAUUUCGUGAUGAAGGUGCUAGUCGCGGCCUUUUCAUGUUUGAUGCGCAUGAUAGAAGCAUGACAGGCCUAAAGAUCUGUCAACUCCUCCUUCCCUUAGUAUAGUAUGGGUAGGUUCUAGGUGUUGCACGAAGGCUUAAUUACGAGUUGAGAGCUCCUAGGUGUUGACAGAUCUUUAAGCUAACAUCCCCGAUCCCCCCACCCCACCCCCCACACACACACACACCACCACCACCGCCACCAAGAGAAAAUGUAAUUUUAUAUCUAGUCUAUUUAAAUUCAGUGAAAAAAUAAUGUAUAGAAAAUAUUAAUAAUAUACAUUGAAAAUAUAUUUCAUGAUAAAUCUAAUGAUACAUGUUUAAUGAUAUGAUAAAUAUUAGUCAAACUUAAGAUGGCAUUGCAUCCUUUCUAUACAUCCACCUCAAGAUAACUCUCCCUUUGUACUUUAUUCAGAGAUCGACAUAUACUAUGGUUUACCAUUUCAAAACUUCUCCAUCAUCGUAACAUUUGUACUUUAUUCUGUUGAUUGAUGAGGAAUACACAGAUAUGAUGCUGCUAGGUACAGUUGAAAAACAUGCGAAAGAUGCUUUCCCGUCGGCAAGGCCCCGGCCCGAGCCCAGCUGUCGCAGCCCAUCAAUCAAAUAAUCUAAAAGCUAACGCAGGGAGGAGAGGCCCGGGAACUUCCAGCGAUAGGAUCGGAGGCUUGGCCCACAUAUAUUGAUUUGCGUAUGUAUUUUUCGUUCUUUCGUUUUUUGUAUAUGUUCUAAUCCUUGAGAAACUAUCACGUAAGUUUUAUGAUUUUACACGUCUUUCAUUCCUCAUUUAGAAAUACUAGUUCCACACUUCGUAAAAGAAAAAAUCAACAUUUUGGGAGAAAAAUCAUUGCCUAUUGUACUUAAAUGUAGAACUGGUUCACCAAAAAAUUUAUAUAACAAAUCAAAAAAAAUGAAAAUAUUGUGUUUCGAGAGGUAACUAAAAAGGAUGAUGAACCUACUUCAUUGCACAAUAGAUUGUUUCUGUGCUAUAUGAUCCAAGAAAUAAAUGAACAGAUCAAUCUAAUGUGCCCCUUCAUGAAUAGAUUUUUGCUUAAUAAAGGAGUAUGUAGUUUUGUUGGACCGGUAGAGAAAUAUUACAAAGCAAAUGCUACUGCAAAAUUAAUUUUAAGAAAUAACCUUCUAUUUUCGGAGACCAACACAAACAUCUUAGCCUUUCUAAAUGUGCUAGCAUUUUUCGAUGUAGACAACUAAACAGGCCACCGAUAAAAAUAAAGAUUUGGCUCAUUCUAAAUCCUAACGCAUAUAAUCUCUCCCACAACCAUCAAAUAUGUUUCCCCAUACAUCUCUCAUAAUCCUAGACUUCUCUCCCACAUAUCUCCCCUCCUCGUUUCCCCCCUUGACCUCUUCACCUCCACCGACUUUGGCUCUUGAUGACCUUAGCUUGUACGGUUGUACCUUCGAGCAAGGGGCACACAAAUUUGACAGGAUGUGUCAUGCAUGUGGACUAGAAAUUGGUUCACCAUUAGUCUACAUGUUUGGAUGGGAUAGAGCUGUUUUAACUACUAGUUGUUAUAUGGUGUGCUUUUGGAAAUAAUACAUUUGGAGCUUGUCUAGAUCGCUAAACAUAUUCAUCAAUUGUAUAAAAUUGACCGUUCAUAGGGGUGAUCUUGCAACCACCCAUUUACACCCAUCAUUUAGUUUUUUUAUGCCAACCAUCACUAAAACUGGGCCAUUUCUAGUGGUGGUUUGCUUAAGGAGAUUGUCACUAGGAACCUAUUUUCAAUGACCAUGCGCAUGGUUGGGGCUACCUUAGUACUUUCAAUGGCCCAGCUCAAUUAAACCAUCUCUAAGAAAAAUAUACAUGCUUCUAAAAAAUCAUUUGUAUAGUAUUGUGUUAUCAAUCGGUCCAUAUUGAUCUAGCUAAGUUUUGCAAGUCUUCUACCAACUAAAGCUUUUAUUUGGCUUUAUAUUUUAUCUUCUUUUCUGUUUAAACAAAAAGGUCUCCUGCUUUAUUUCAUGGUGAAAUAAAAGCAAAUAUGAUCCAUUUGGUUUAUGAUGCGCCCGCCAAACUGAUUACAUUCCAACGAGUACUAUAUGGGUUUUUUUAAGGAAGUUGGAGGGACCGAAGUCCCUGCAGGAAUUUAUUAAAAUGACAGCCAGUACAAGGGGGACAAAGGGAAUUAGAAAACAAGCCCACAAAAACGAAAGGACAGAAACAUCUACCUACUCGUUUUCUAUUUUGUUCAGUAGGGGUAAAAUGGUCUUUCUACUCCUGACUAAACAUUGUUAGCUACCCGAAAUUGAUAGAAUAGAGCCAAAUAAAAUUUUUUUUAGACCAUAGAGCCAAAUUCGAAAAAAAAAGAACCGUAUACCUAAGAUAAGUUUUUUCGAGAGCCAUACACCUAAUUCUUCCUAUAGUAUUUCCAAUGUUCUGUUUUCUACCAGGCCUGUUUUUAUUUCAAUCCGGGAUAGGCUCGCUCAGAACAUCCAUAUAGAGGCCCAAUUUGGCCCAAGACGGCCACAAACCCUCUGCUUGGUAAGGUAAACGCACCUGUGACUUGUCUCAUAUACGUGAAGAAGCCCAAGCAGCAGCCAGCAUUUUUCUCCUUUGUCAGCAUGUACGAUCAAUCCCAGUUUUUUAGUGCCAGUGCCAUAUUAAUAUAUUUUAUAUUUAUGGACGCCACGUAUAUUAGUUUGUAUAUACAUACCUUGACGCCAUGCGUGUAUGGCACUGUUGGGUGGACUAUUAGUAAUUACAUUACUAACUAAUUCAGCUAUACGUUAUUAGUGAUUACCAGCUAUAUAUACACCACGUACGCUUGCACACACACACGUAUUGACGUGUAUGUAUACUUACGUAUUAGCUUCUUCUCACGCACUUAGCAAAAGCACAAGCAACAUUUUCAUCACAUAUUAAAUUCCUGAUUGCACACAUAAAUAUAUGCAUACAAUUGAGAAUUUUAGAACAAAAUCUCGUUAAACAGAGAAGUAUGUCAGAUGCGCAUGCAAUUCUGGCUUAAGUGUCCUCGUACCAUUCAUUUCCGUCUAUUUUCAGAUUUACCUGUUUUCGUAUUACUGUUUAUUUCGCUAUCAUUUUCACUUCCGGUUGUUUUGCUCCCAUUUCUGUUUUUGUCAAAAAAAAUAUAAAAACAGAAACUGUAGAGUUUUUGGUCCAUUUUUAUCCUUAGCUAAGAGAUAGCAAGGGCUGCCAGGCUCUUUAUGAAGCACGCAUUUCGUUUGUUGCUUUUUUUCACCUUUUUGCUUUUGUGUACUCUUAAGCAGAAUGAAAUUUGUAAUUUGCGUACCACCACAAUGGGUUCUGUCAGUCAGCUGCCCCCAAAAACAACGAACAAACAUACAUACAUAACAAUGAACAUGUAGCAAAAAAAAACAAGAUCGAGUGCAUAAGCUCAUAUAGAGGGAACAAACUAAACUGCACUAAAAUCAUGUAAUCAGCAUUACAUAAAAAAUGACGCAAAGCAAAAAAAAAAAAAAAGAAUAGGUGUACAGCAAGUAGCAGCUAGCACCUACAAAUGCAUGCUACAACUUCGUCCUCAUGGGAGGCUUUAUUCAUAUACCCUAUAAUGGCUAAUGGAGACUCUUCAUCGAUCAUUCAGUUGUCUGCUGCUGGUGGGAUGUGCGGCGGGUUAGGCUUUGGUUUGGGCUCCGGCUUGGGUUCAGGCUUUGGUUUUGGUUCAGGCUUAGGCUCCGGUUUGGGUUCUGGUUUCGGCUUGGGCUCGGGCUUUGGUUCAGGUUUAGGCUUAGGCUCAGGCUUAGGUAGUGGUUCGGGUUUUGGUUCCGGCUUCGGCUCAGGCUUAGGCUCGGGUUUUGGUUUGGGCUCGGGCUUAGGCUCUGGUUUGGGUAGUGGUUCUGGUUUUGGUUCUGGCUUGGGCUCGGGCUUAGGCUCUGGUUUGGGCAGUGGCUCUGGCUUUGGCUCUGGUUUUGGCAAUGGUUUGGGCUUUGGUUCCGGCUUGGGCUCAGGCUUAGGCUCUGGUUUUGGUAGUGGUUCAGGUUUUGGUUCCGGCUUGGGUUCAGGCUUAGGCUCGGGCUUUGGUUCCGGCUUGGGCUCAUGCUUAGGUUGCAGUGGUUCGGGUAUGGGUUCUGUGCUUGGGUUCAGGCUUAGUGCUCGGUGCUUUGGGUAUCGUGCUUGGGCUCAGGCUUAGGCUCCGGUAUCGGCAUCGGUUCGGGCUUUGGUUCUGGCUAGGGCUCAGGCUUAGGCUCAGGUUUUGGUUUUGGCAUGGGCUCAGGUUUUGGUUCAGGCUUAGGCUCCGGCUUAGGCUCAGGCUUAGGUUUUGGUUCUGGCUUGGGCUCCGGUUUUGGCAGUGGUUCAGGCUUGGGCUCAGGCUCGGGUUUUGGUUCAGGCUUAGGCUCAGGUUUUGGCUUUGGCUCAGGCUUUUUUGGCUUUGGCUUUGGUUCAGGCAUAGGCUUGGGCAUCGGUUCGGGUUUGGGCUUUGGCUCUGGCUUCGUUAUGGGUUUAGGUUGAGGCUCAGGUUUAGGUUCAGGUUUCGGCGAAGGCUCUGGAUGAGGCUCAGUUUUUGGCUCUGGACGUGGCUUGGGCUCUGGUUUAGGUUCAGGUUUGGGCUCUGGCUGUGGCAGGGGCUGCGGCUGAGGCUGGGGUUCCGGUUUGGGUUGUGGCUCCGGCUGCGGCAGCUCGGCGGCAGCACGUCCAUGCUUGCGCGCGAAGCGGCCGCCAUGGCCAAGCCCGACGCCGGCAGCCGCCGCUUCGUCGACGAAGAAG